AGAGUUUGAUCAUGGCUCAGGACGAACGCUGGCGGCGCGCUCAUGCAUGCAAGUCGAGCGAUGCACUCCUUAGCCCGUAGGGGCUUUGACGGAGCGGCGAACGGGUGCGUAACACGUGACUAAUCUACCCCGAAGACCGGGAUAGCCCGGGAAACCCGGAGUUAAUACCGGAUGAUCUCACCGCAGCGCAUGUUGCGGUUAGCAAAGGUUCAGGCGCUUCGGGAUGAGGUCGCGGCCCAUCAGCUGGUUGGUGAGGUAACGGCUCACCAAGGCAACGACGGGUAGCUGGUCUGAGAGGACGAUCAGCCACACUGGAACUGAGAUACGGUCCAGACUCCUACGGGAGGCAGCAGCAGGGAAUCUUGCGCAAUGGGCGAAAGCCUGACGCAGCGACGCCGCGUGGGGGAUGAAGGCCUUAGGGUUGUAAACCCCUUUCACGAGGGAAGAAAAUGACGGUACCUCGAGAAGAAGCCCCGGCUAACUACGUGCCAGCAGCCGCGGUAAUACGUAGGGGGCGAGCGUUGUCCGGAUUUAUUGGGCGUAAAGGGCUCGUAGGCGGCUUGACAAGUCGGCCGUGAAAGCCCAGGGCUCAACCCUGGGACGCCGGUCGAUACUGUCAUGGCUAGGGUCCGGUAGAGGGGAAUGGAAUUCCCGGUGUAGCGGUGAAAUGCGCAGAUAUCGGGAGGAACACCAUUAGCGAAGGCGGUUCCCUGGGCCGGCACCGACGCUGAGGAGCGAAAGCGUGGGGAGCAAAUAGGAUUAGAUACCCUGGUAGUCCACGCCGUAAACUUUGGGUACUAGGCGUGGCGUCUUAUCAACGGACGCCGUGGUCGAAGCUAACGCGUUAAGUACCCCGCCUGGGGAGUACGGCCGCAAGGCUAAAACUCAAAGGAAUUGACGGGAGCCCGCACAAGCGGCGGAGCAUGCGGCUUAAUUCGAUGCGACCCGAAGAACCUUACCUGGGCUUGACAUCACGGGAAAAACCCUGGAAACAGGGUGUGCGUAAGCGUCCGUGACAGGUGGUGCAUGGUUGUCGUCAGCUCGUGUCGUGAGAUGUUGGGUUAAGUCCCGCAACGAGCGCAACCCCUGUCCUAUGUUGCCAGCACGUAAUGGUGGGGACUCAUAGGAGAAUGCCGGGGACAACUCGGAGGAAGGUGG
rnacentral:rRNA from 1 species